UAUUGAAACUGCUGAAAAGUGCUUUUAUGGAAUGGCGAAUUUUACACAAUAAACAACACGAUUGAACUUUUAACGACAAUGAAAUAGUAUCUUAAAGUAACUUGUAGUUGUAUUAUUAUAAUUAUACAAUGUUAAGUCACUUGGAAAUGGAUAUAAUCAAAAGAAUCAUUGCAAGAUGACGGUUGGACUAGCUUCAUUGAAGUUUGGACAUUGACAUUCAGGUUUCAACAUGCGGCUGUUCUUUCACAGUUUCCAGGGAUGUGAUUGAUUUUAUCAAGUAGCGUCGAUGAAUUCUUGGAGAGAGGAGUUAGGGCCUUGAGGAGAUCGUCUUGAUGAGUAAACGGGGACUGGUCCUUUUCAUUGGCAAUGUCCAGAAGAGACUGAUAAGUGUAGAUUCUGGCCUUUGACUUGUUAUCCAGGAGAAAGUCUGCAGAGCCAGAGAGCACAAGGAAGUAAAAACUGUGGAUCAGGAACGAUCGCUCUGGAAGAAGGAGUGAGGAGUGUUGUUCGCCCUGGGUGAGGGACAUACUGGCAAAUUCAACAGCCAGAAGACGCUGGUCUGGGGUGAGUCUUCUCCAGUUCUUUGGGGGCCACAAAAGAUUGGGAAGAAGAACGACAGACUCUUCUUGAACAAUUGCCCAGUCACGUUUUGCAGAUGGAAAUAGAGGCAUGUUGCCAUUAACGAACAGGGAUCUUGCUUUAGAUCUAAGAAGUUUUGCAGAAGGAGUAGGUGUGUAGAGGUUGUCAGCUGGAGUGGGAGUGGCAAUGGUGUAUAAAUCAUCAUGGGCUAGUGGAGUUGGAUCGUAGUUGGGUGUUGCUGGUGGAAGAUCUUGAAGAUUGUUGGAAUGAAGAGCAGGUGUGCGGAGAUCAUCUUGAAGAGGUGAAGGAGGAGCAUAGUUUGGUGCCAAUAGUUCAGUAUCUUGAAGAGUACAGGUGUCAGUUUGAAGCGGGGAUGCGGGAACAGGUGCAGGAAGUUCAUCAAAUAAUGGUGUUGCAGGAGUAGCUGGUCGUGCUUUCAUAGCAUUAACAAUGAUGGAAGGUUCUUGCAGGGGUGUUGAAUCAGUAAGAUUGAAUUUAGUUGACCCAUCAUUAGAUAGAAUGGACGUCACUGCUUGCACAUUAAGACCCAAUCAUGUUACCCAAAAGUGUUUGCCUUGUGUUAAAGGCUUAGAUUGCACUUGUACAGAAUUGGUUUUGAAACUUAAUUAUGAAGGUGUUCUUAAAAAAUAUAAUGAAGGGCACAAUAUAACCUUGUGUUAUGAUACAAUAUUAAAUAUAUAAA